UGUGUAGGCGGUGCUCUAAGUCUGUCGUGAAAUCUCCCGGCUUAACUGGGAGGGUGCGGCGGAAACUAGAAUGCUAGAGGGUGGGAGAGGUAAGCGGAAUUCCUGGUGUAGCGGUGAAAUGCGUAGAUAUCAGGAGGAACACCUGUGGUGUAGACAGCUUACUGGACCACUUCUGACGCUGAGACACGAAAGCGUGGGUAGCAAACA
rnacentral:rRNA from 1 species